AACAAAACGCUGGCGGCGUGCCUAACACAUGCAAGUCGUACGAGAAAGUCGGCUUCGGCCGAUGAGUACAGUGGCGCACGGGUGAGUAGCGCGUGGGGUAAUCUGCCCCCCCGGUCAGGAAUAACCCGCCGAAAGGCGGGCUAAUACCCGAUAACACUGACGCUCCGCGGAGCGUCUUUCAAAGAAGGCCUCUGUUUACAAGCUUUCGCCGGAGGAUGAGCCCGCGUACCAUUAGCUAGUUGGCAGGGUAAUGGCCUACCAAGGCUACGAUGGUUAGCUGGUCUGAGAGGAUGGCCAGCCACACUGGAACUGAGACACGGUCCAGACUCCUACGGGAGGCAGCAGUGAGGAAUCUUGCGCAAUGGGGGAAACCCUGACGCAGCAACGCCGCGUGAGUGAGGAAGGCCUUCGGGUCGUAAAGCUCUGUCUGGAGGGACGAAGGAAGUGACGGUACCUCCGGAGGAAGGCCACGGCUAACUACGUGCCAGCAGCCGCGGUAAAAUCACGUGUAC
rnacentral:rRNA from 1 species